GUCUUUCCAUUGUAUUUCAUCCUUGCAAGAGACCUCACCAAAUUCUGCACUUCAGCCUUAUCAGAAAUUUUAAACUUUUCUGCAAUGGAAUUGAAGAACUCCUUGGCCAAUUCUGAAUCAGGUUAAUCGAUUUAAUAACCUAAAACACACAGAUGAUUGGUGUUAGUUUCCUGACCGUUGGACAAUGCUUUCAUGUUUUCAGUAUCUAUCGCGCAGGCAUAGCUUUAGAUAUUACAGGUUUCAUUGGCCAAACCAGCUGCUAGGAUUCUUGAAGUUACUGGAAAAACUGCACAGAGCAUUAGAACCCGAUAGGAUCCAUUGAACUUCCUCUUAAUUUAUGAUAUUUGUAGUCACAACAAUGCUUGUUUUGUCAAUUACCAAUGAUCCACAAAGGAUUCAGUACUUUGUCUUGCAUUUUUUGUAAGGAAUAUAUCUAUUAGACAAUAUGAUACUCUUAAUGAAAUGUAUAUUUUUCUUUUA